rnacentral:rRNA from 1 species
UACAGAGGGUGCUAGCGUUGUUCGGAAUUACUGGGCGUAAAGCGCGCGCAGGCGGGUUCUUGAAGCGUGGGGGGAAAUCUCACCGCUCAACGGUGAGGCUGCUCUGGAUACUGCGGACCUGGAGACCGGUAGAGGCUGGUAGAAUUGCGGGUGUAGCGGUGGAAUGCGUAGAGAUCUGCAAGAAUACCCGUGGCGAAGGCGGCCAGCUGGGCCGGUUCUGACGCUGAUGCGCGAAAGCGUGGGGAGCAAACAGG